rnacentral:rRNA from 1 species
CGAGUCUUAAUUGGGCGUUAAGUUGCAGGGUAUAGACCCGAAACCCGGUGAUCUAGCCAUGGGCAGGUUGAAGGUUGGGUAACACUAACUGGAGGACCGAACCGACUAAUGUUGAAAAAUUAGCGGAUGACCUGUGGCUGGGGGUGAAAGGCCAAUCAAACCGGGAGAUAGCUGGUUCUCCCCGAAAGCUAUUUAGGUAGCGCCUCGUGAAUUCAUCUCCGGGGGUAGAGCACUGUUUCGGCUAGGGGGCCAUCCCGGCUUACCAACCCGAUGCAAACUGCGAAUACCGGAGAAUGUUAUCACGGGAGACACACGGCGGGUGCUAACGUCCGUCGUGAAGAGGGAAACAACCCAGACCGCCAGCUAAGGUCCCAAAGUCAUGGUUAAGUGGGAAACGAUGUGGGAAGGCCCAGACAGCCAGGAUGUUGGCUUAGAAGCAGCCAUCAUUUAAAGAAAGCGUAAUAGCUCACUGGUCGAGUCGGCCUGCGCGGAAGAUGUAACGGGGCUAAACCAUGCACCGAAGCUGCGGCAGCGAACGUAUCACUUAAAGCGAUUCAGCGGGUUACGA